UCUGACUUCUACAUGAGAAUAAUUUUCAAAGUAAAUAUUACGUUUUGCUAUAUGUUUUAGGAACAAAAUUAACAACAUCAUAUUAAUAAUAUACGUCGUUGAAAGUCGGAAUAUCUAUAAAGAAGUUAAUAAGGACUAAUUAUAAUGUUUUUUAUUGCUACGCUUCUUAUAUCGGACGUUUGCUUGAACAACGUUGCAGCAGACAUAAAAAGAUAUUACUUGGCUUCAGCUUGUGAUGAUAGUAUAAACCUAAUAAACAAUGAUAGCAUCCUUCUGACGUUGAUUCACCCAGGUAGACAUGAAUUGUUGUCAGACAAUUACGUCAUCUAAAGCCGGAGACCAAAUCAUGCUUUACUUUAAGUUUAUCGAUAUUGCAUGGAGCCACGAGUGUGCAAAUGAUUGGAUAGAAUUACAUGACGGAUUGGGUCUUAAUUCACCUUAUGUGUCAGGUAUGAAACCGCAGUACAAGCAGAAUAUUAUUUACUUUUGAUAAGAUGUCGAUCGUUUGGAAAUAUUUAGAGGGUGCUUUAUUUAUAAUACGCUUUCAUUUUUAGUCAUAAAAGCUCAUUGACAUCCUCAAACAGUCCGGGGAAUUUUAUCUAUUCUAUGUAAAAUGUCCGUUUUUAAUAAAUAAGACUUUGAAGUAAUUCUGUCCACUUCGAAGAAAGGGGACUAUAUUGGUUUUCACCUGUCGGUCGCGUAAGUCGGUAUGUUGGUUGGUCUAUCUGAUCGUCUCUCGGUAGAGCGAACGAUUUCUGGCCAAUUACUUACAAACCACUCAACCCAGAAUAUUCAAACUUGGUAUCAUGGUUGGGUUUAUAGAGUAACUGCUCCCUAAAAUCUUUUGGGUCGGUAGGUCAAAUGUCAAGGUUACAGGGACCCAAUAACUUCAGAAUCUUUUGACCUAGAACCUUCAAACUUAGUAGCAUGAUAGCGCUUAUAAAGUGAUGAAUCCUUUUGUUUUGGGGGUCAGAAGGUCAAUGGUCAAGGUCACAAGGGCCUGGAAUUUUGAAACAGUUUCCGUUCUUAACAACCAUUUGAUUCAUAACCUUAAAUUUGGGUGUCAGAAGGACAAUGGUCAAAGUCACAUGCGCCUGAACUCCGCUCAGUAACUUGAGAACCACUCGACCCAGAACUUUCAAACUUGACAGCAUUAUUGGGCUUAUAAGUAGAUGACUCCUAUAGUUUUUGGUUUCAGUAAGUGAAACAUCAAGGUCACAGGAACCUGAAAACUGAAAACGAUUUCCUGUCAAUAACAUGAGAACUACUCGACCCAGAACUAUCGAACUUAAUAGCAUGAUUGGGCUUAUAAAGUUGAUGACCCUGAUUAUGUUGGAAAGUCAAGAACGCAGAGAUCAAAUGUCAAUGUCACAGGUGCCUGGAUCUUAAAACUGAGUGAAACAGUUUCCACUCAAUCACUUGGGAACCACUUGGCCCAGUAUCUUCAAUCUUGAUUGGACUUAUGCAGUUGAUGAUCCCUAUUGUUUUGGAUGUUAGUUGGUCAAAGGUCAAGGUAUUAGUGAUCACGGGGCUAAACAAUAGGACAACUCCUCAAAGGGGGUAUGCGUGUAACAAACAGCUCUUGUUCUGUAUUUAAGAGACGUCUACCUUUGCGUUUCCAAAAUGGCCGAUCAAAUCUUAAAUAUGUUUUGUAUGCAAUACAACAGUUGAUGUAAGUUGUAAUAUUGACGUUAUUAUACAGUCAUAUAUCUUCAGAUAUUUCGAAAAAUACAUUUGCAGUAUCAUUCAUGCAUACAUGCUUUUUAACGAUGCCACUGUAAAAUAUAAUACAGGUUUAAUGGGAAAUCUCUGUGGCAACCAAACAACACCGUAUAUUCUACAAGUGCCAACAACCUUUUCGUUCGUUUCAAGAGUGGAUGGUCAGUCGCAUAUCAAGGGUUUGACCUAGUACUAACACGAUACCACACAGGUAUAUGUAAUAUAUGAUAAAUGCCAUGAUAAACAGAGUGGCCAACCCACCUGACCUUUGGAUACCGUACACACGGAGAAAACGUCCCGAUGCAGAUAACACUUCACCUACCUUUUCGAAGACAACAAAAUGAGUGCCCUCCGCUGCACAAAGCGUCUACCAUCGAUUCUCAUAACUUUCCAAAAAUUCCGCCUGACUGCUUUUUAACAUAACGUACAUCCGUUUGCUGCCGGGUGAACGGUUUCAAAAAUACUAAGAACUGAUGGAAGACGCUGUUGUGCUGUGGAAAAGUCUCAUUUUACUGUCUUCGAUACACUGUAUCUUAUGACAUCCGUCAAGUAAUAAAGAAAUAAGUUAUACGCAAAAUGUUACCUGAAUCUGGCCCCCUUGAAAAAGGGGCCUCUGAGGAGACCACUAGAAUUAGUAUUUACAAUAUAACAGAUACAACAGUACAACAGAUAUAACAUUAUGAGUGUUUACUAUAUCUCACAAAUGACAGGUCUAUUUCGAGAUAAUUUUAUAUAACUUGUACAUUACUUAGUAAAAUGGAUACUUUUGUUUUCUUUUUUUAAUUAUCAAAAUGGAUAUUUUUGUUUUCUUUUUUUUUAAUUGUCAAAGCAGUGUAAGAUAAAAUAGUUCAGCGGCGUAGAAUGUAGUUAAUAUCAGUUUAAUUUUUAUACUAAGUUAUACUGUCAGUCACGUACGAUGUGGGUUCGAUUCUGCUAGUUAGCUAUAGUAUUCGAAAACUAUGAGCAGAUGUACGUACUUUUGUUAUGCUAUCCAAGUAGUAUUGUAACAACUUUGUCUAAGUAAGAUUCAAAAGCAAAAUAUUCUUUUACAGAUUUAUACAAUAACAGUACAAUACUUCAAUCUAUACUGCCGCGCAAAUCUUGCAUAAAUUUAUCAACCAGUCUUUGUUUGAACAUUGACAGAAAGUUUAUAAUGUCUGUUAGGUAUAAAUUAAACAAUACAAUACAAUCUAAAACCAUAUCUGGCUAAAAUAUUUUUAUGUUGCUAAACCAAUUUACUUUGUUCAUUUCAACAUCUGAGAUAGAAGAAUCGACAAUACUUGUUACAAUCAUAUCAUCACUACUACAUGAUUUAAAUCAUAUUUUUGUUAUGCGUACGUAUUUGUUUAUGUAAAGAGAGUAUCGACCUAACUGUCCAUAUACAUCUACAUUUGAAGUAGAUUGUCUUACACCAAGAAUGGUUUUACAAAACUUCAGGUGUAAAUUUUCAAGCUGUUUCGAUUUUGUAAAACCACACAUCUCACAACCACGUGUUAUGAUAGAUGAUUCACAUGCAUUGAAUGUUUUAAUAUGAAAUAAGUAAAUUAUUGCCUUUAAGCCGUUUCCGUAUAAAGUUUGUGUAUUUAGGUUGAAAUUUUCUGUAUGAUUUAAUGUUACGUCCAAGUAGUUAAAUCAUUAACGACCUCUAUAUCUUCAUUAACACGAACAACAACAAGUUUUGUCUUAACUACAUUGACUUCUGGGCACACUUGUUACAAUAUUCAUAUAACCUGUCUAAAGACAAGUGUUCAAAUUCUGGUGUAAAACCAAAUGCAACCAUGUCUUUAGCAAAAAGAAGAAAUAUUAGACAAAUAUCUUGGAGACUUCAACCUCAAUCGUUUCCUUUUUGUAAAACCAUUUCUAGAUCUACAAUGAAGAAAACAAACAUAACUGGCGAGAUUAUCCCCGUCUUAAUCCAAUCGAUAUAUCAAAACAAUCAGAAUAAGUGUCCAUACAGCAAAGGAUCUGUUGUAAAUAAUCUUACCUUUGAGUUAUAAUGUUAGUAAGGUAAAAAUAUUUGAUUUUAAUUACAAGUUACAAAAAAUGAAGAUCCUAUGUCUUACUGAAGCAGAUUUACAGACUUGUUUAUAAUAUCUCGUUAUUGAGGGUUACUUGGACAGAGUCGCAGUGGUCGUAAACGGACAGGCAUAUUUGAAAGCAUAAUUAACCCAUUUUACCUGUUUAAUUUCUAAAAUGGACAGUUCCAUCAUUCAGUUUAGGCAGCACAACUUAUUAUUCAAAGAGGUGUUCACUGAAAAUUUACUGACUGGAUAGCGAACAGUGCAAAUUGUGAUCAGCCUGCAUGGACCUGCAGACUGAUAUUAGUCUGCACUGGCCGCAACGGCAAAAUCACUUGCCGCAAGCAGGCUAAAGGUUAAAAUAAAUUACAAGCACCAUUCUUUCCUUUCGCUUAACUUUUAGCAGAUUUAUUCAUUCAUACAUCCGUGCAUCAAAGGUGAAUAUACUUGCCAAAAUGGCCGCUGUAUCUCAGAGAGUUUGGUCUGUAAUGGAUAUAAUCCUUGCGGGGAUGUUUCCGACUGUAGACCUACAACGCCAGUUCCUGUACCUGAUUACCCUGGUCAUGUACAUCGUGUUCGAUCGACUGGAGAUAUUGUUGCCAUCGUCUUUGGAUCGUUUGCUUUCGUUUCUGUAAUAGUGUGCAGUAUAGUGUAUUGCAGGAGUCGACGCCGACGCAUGAAUGGAAUGAAUUAUCAGGCGGCUGUAGGUUGAGUGAUAGAGCAUGUCGAUAUAUUCGGCUACUACAGAUUUGUACAGCAACAACAAACGUUUUAAGCCAUUCCAUAACAUAAUUAUAU